GACGAACGCUGGCGGCGUGCCUAAUACAUGCAAGUCGAACGCAGUGGGGACGGGUGAGUAACACGUGGGUAACCUCCCAUCAGAGGGGAUAACACUUGGAAAAAGGUGCUAAACCGAUACUGAUGGAUGAACCCGCGGUGCAUUAGCUAGUUGGGGGGGAAACGGCUCACCAAGGCCACGAUGCAUAGCCGGCCUGAGAGGGUGAUCGGCCACACUGGGACUGAGACACGGCCCAGACUCCUACGGGAGGCAGCAGUGGGGAAUUUUCGGCAAUGGACGAAAGUCUGACCUAGCAACGCCGCGUGAGUGAAGAAGGUUUUCGGAUCGUAAAGCUCUGUUAUUAGAGAAGCGGUAUCUAACCAGAAAGCCACGGCUAACUACGUGCCAGCAGCCGCGGUAAUUC
rnacentral:rRNA from 1 species